CAGGGAGACACAACUGAUCGUGAUGUCUGAGCGCCGACCAAGCGUAAGUUUGGGAAGCACAUUUGUCUCAGGCCACGGUCCUGUCAUCUCGAAGGUCGAUCGGUACCUCAAGGUGAGCCAUUAAAGCCAAGGACGACUCCAGAGAGCUCGCAAGAGCAGGAAGGAGAAGGCCGAGGAUAUUGUGAUGGACUCGUUUUCAGUUCCUAAACUUUGUCUAGGCCACCCCACCAAGGGUUUUGCCAGACAUCCAACGUUUCGGAUCCCGCCAGGGAGAUGAAGCAAGGGUGUGUGGAGGAGCCACUGUCAGAGUGAUUGUUCCUGGGCCAUUAGCUCAGGUGGUUAGAGCGCACCCCUGAUAAGGGUGAGGUCCCUGGUUCAAGUCCAGGAUGGCCCAUUCGUGUUUGGGGGUUUAGCUCAGUUGGUAGAGCGCCUGCUUUGCAAGCAGGAUGUCAGCGGUUCGAGUCCGCUAACCUCCAUCCAGCUAGGUUAAGACCACAACAUGAAGCUGCAUCAGGAGGAAUUCUGAUGGGUGAAGUGACCGGACAUGUUCAGCUGAGGACUCCAGCCUCCUUUCAUUCCCGAUGGAUGAGCUCACACGAUGUGUGAUGCCUUGUUCAGAUGUGGUUGAAAGGAAGCUGGACUCGCUGAUCACCUACUUACAUGUUCAUGGGAGUGGGUGAGUCAGUGUAGCCAGCAAAGAACCUUGACAACUGCAUAGGUGAGUCUGGAAAAGAAAGCAUCUCAUGGAUGCCCAGACGGACGUGGACGGAUCCUGGUAACCCCAGGUGAUGGAGACGGCUGACUGGGAAGAUUCUUGAGUUUAGAGCCGAGAGCUUCCAGCGUCUUUUCGCUCCGCCGAGGAGGGAAGAGUCAGAUUCUGCCUUUCAAACCGCUUGAGUUUGAGUGGGACGAGAGACCGCGACGGGCAACCGCAGCGGUGAAUUGUUUCAUGAAAAGCGAGAAGAGAAGGUGAAAGCAGGAGAAUGGGUCUCAACAACCCUGAACGUUGGGAGUGUUAAUU
rnacentral:tRNA from 1 species